UACGGAGGGUGCAAGCGUUAUCCGGAUUCACUGGGUUUAAAGGGUGCGUAGGAGGGCAGGUAAGUCAGUGGUGAAAUCUCCAAGCUUAACUUGGAAACUGCCGUUGAUACUAUCUGUCUUGAAUACCGUGGAGGUGAGCGGAAUAUGUCAUGUAGCGGUGAAAUGCUUAGAUAUGACAUAGAACACCAAUUGCGAAGGCAGCUCGCUGGGACGGUAUUGACGCUAAGGCGCGAAAGCGUGGGGAGCAAACAGG
rnacentral:rRNA from 1 species